CCGCUGCCAGCGAGGGCAGUGAGGCGGGGAGGGAGGGGGAUGCCAGGCGGGCAGUCGCCCUCACUGCUGGCACGCGGGGUGGCACGUGCCCUGGGCGGUGGAAGAGGAGCGACCGCGUUGCUCUGUAGGUGCCACGGAGAGGAGGGGCUGUGGUCCUGAUGGCAGUGCUGCAGCGAGUGUCCCUAUGACUCGCUCGAAACACCUGGAUCUCUCAGUGAAUCUGCCAAGAGUUUCUGUGUCAAAGCCUGUCAUCAGAUGUGAUCUCUUGGUCUGCUGGGUGUUCUCCCUCACCUUCCACCUACCUACGCCGGGAUGUCUGCCUGGGAUUAUCAGUACCACAGCCAUGUGAACAAAACCAGGAUUUAUUAAACACAGACAGAACGUGAAAUCCAGGUACCGCACGACUCCAGGGAGCUCCUCUGUGACAGACUCAGGAUCGCGCAGGUGGGACGGGACCUCUGCAGACCGCGGGUGCAGCACUUGUGCCAAGUUGCCUGGGGCCUUGUCCCGUCAGAUUUGGAAUAUCUCUACGGAUGGACCCCGAGCUGGCUGGGCAACCUCUUCCACAUUACCCACCCGCAUGGUGAAAACUUCUUUCCAUAUGAAAUCAGAAUUUCCCACGUUCCAACUUGCCCCUCUCAGCUUUCGUCCUGUCCCUGCAGAUCUCUGAGAAGUCUGCUUCGUGUUCUCUGUGCCCACUUAUCAGGUAGUUGUAGUCAGCGGGAAGAUGUCCCCUGAGCCCUGCCCUCUCCAGGCUGAGCAUACACAGCUCUCAGGCCCCCGUGUGCCCCGCAUCACCCCAGCCCCGCAUCACCCAAUGCCCCAUGUGCCCCAGCCCCAAAUCACCCCAGCCCCUGUG